GUAAAUACUAGUUCCCAUACAAUCAAUGAAGUUAAGCAAUGUCAAGCCUGGUCAGUACCUAGAUGGGUGACCACAAGGGAAUACCAGGUGCUGUAAG
rnacentral:rRNA from 1 species